rnacentral:sRNA from 1 species
AGAAAUGCAACACACCUGGCUGUUUG